UGGGAUGUAGUUCAGUGGUAGAACAAAGGGCCUAGCAUGCACUAGGCCUUUGGUUCAAUUCCCAGCACUGCAA
rnacentral:tRNA from 1 species